GCCAGGGGGGCUUAGUGGUUUGAGCGUUGGACUAUGGCUCUGGAGACCAGGGUUCAAAUACCGGCUCAGCCA
rnacentral:tRNA from 1 species